rnacentral:rRNA from 1 species
UAGUAACGGCGAGUGAAGCGGCAACAGCUCAAAUUUGAAAUCUGGCGCAAGCCCGAGUUGUAAUUUGUAGAGGAUGUUUCUGGCGACGCGCCUUCCGAGUUCCCUGGAACGGGACGCCAUAGAGGGUGAGAGCCCCGUACGGUUGGAUGCCUAGCCUCUGUGAAACUCCUUCGACGAGUCGAGUAGUUUGGGAAUGCUGCUCUAAAUGGGAGGUAUACGUCUUCUAAAGCUAAAUACCGGCCAGAGACCGAUAGCGCACAAGUAGAGUGAUCGAAAGAUGAAAAGCACUUUGAAAAGAGGGUUAAAAAGUACGUGAAAUUGUUGAAAGGGAAGCGUUCAUGACCAGACUUGGGCAGGUUGAUCAUCCGUGGUUCUCCGCGGUGCACUCUGCCUGCCCAGGCCAGCAUCAGUUCGCCCCGGGGGAUAAAGGCUUUGGGAAUGUGGCUCCCUCGGGAGUGUUAUAGCCCACUGCGUAAUACCCUGGGGUGGACUGAGGUUCGCGCUCUGCAAGGAUGCUGGCGUAAUGGUCAUCAACGACCCGUCUUGAAACACGGACCAAGGAGUCGUCUUCGUAUGCGAGUGUUCGGGUGUCAAACCCCUACGCGUAAUGAAAGUGAACGUAGGAGAGAGCUUCGGCGCAUCUCCGACCGAUCCUGAUGUUCUCGGAUGGAUUUGAGUAAGAGCAUACGGGGCCGGACCCGAAAGAAGGUGAACUAUGCCUGUAUAGGGUGAAGCCAGAGGAAACUCUGGUGGAGGCUCGCAGCGGUUCUGACGUGCAAAUCGAUCGUCAAAUAUGGGCAUGGGGGCGAAAGACUAAUCGAACCUUCUAGUAGCUGGUUUCCGCCGA